CUCAGCAAAAAGACGAAGGCAACAAUUUAGCCAUCCUCUGCACACCUCCACACAGCACCUGGGAGAAACAUCAUUUUAAGUUCAUGAAGGGAGCAGAAUCUUGGAAGUCUCAAGAAAAAAAACUCUAGAAAGAUGCAUCGAUUCCAGAAAACCAGGAAAAUGCUGAACUGGUUUCUCCCCAGUAAUCCAGACUCCACUUCACAGAGCCAAGAGUUUGAGUACAAGUAAGUGAUGUUAUUUGUGAAGUUUUUUUGUCUUGGAAACUAUUGC